rnacentral:rRNA from 1 species
CCUACGGGAGGCAGCAGUGGGGAAUAUUGCACAAUGGGGGAAACCCUGAUGCAGCGACGCCGCGUGAGUGAAGAAGUAAUUCGUUACGUUAAGCUCUAUCAGCAGGGAAGAAAAGGACGAUACGUGAGUAAGAAGCAACGGCGAACUACGUGCCAGCAGCCGCGGUAAUACGUAGGGGGCAAGCGUUAUCCGGAGUUACUGGGUGUAAAGGGAGCGUAGACGGUGCGCCAAGUCUGGAGGGAAAUGUAGGAGCUUAACUGUGGCACUGGUUUUGAAAAUGGCGAACUAGAGUGCGGGAGGGGUAAGCGGAAUGCCUAGUGUAGCGGUGAAAUGCGUAGAUAUUAGGAGGAACACCGGGGGCGAAGGCGGCUUACUGGACCGUAACUGACGUUGAGGCUCGAAAGCGUGGGGAGCAAACAGGAUUAGAUACCCCAGUAGUC